GGCAGACAUUUUCAGAGUUUAGCUCAUAUUUCAGUUUUUUAUAAAUAUUCAUUGUUUAUUAAAAAGUGAAAAUUAAAAAAAUCUUCAUAAACACAAUUUUAAUCUUUCAAUAAAUCAACAUACUUUAAGUUACUAUAGCGGAACAUGAAUGGAGAAAAUAAUAUGAGUGAUGAUUAUGAAUAUUUGUUUAGUAGAGAUGAUAGCGAUGCAGACAAGAAAAAUAUGCCAAAUAAUAAUAAUUUAAGUUUGGAAACUCAAUCAUAAUAAGAUAUUAUUAAUGAUUUACUAAGUAAUUCCCUAUUAAAUGUGCCACAGACUUCUAGGAAAAGUCAGAAGAAUUGAUACAUGGAAACAUGUGACAACUAUGAUUUUAAGAAAUAAAGGUAUGACUUAUGUAGAUCUUAAAGGCAAAACACACAAGAGUAAAGAACUAAUAGAGUUCAAAUAAAGAUGUAGGUAUAAAUGUAACACUAAUUUACCUGAAGAUGUCUGAAAGGAAAUUUUUAAGAAAUAUUGGGAGUUACAAACAGCAUAUUUAAAUGGGGCUAUUACAUUAAAUACGGUUUGUAGAAAAAGUGAUACAGCAACAAAGGCAGUAUUAUGUGUUUACACUCUUGGAGAGUUUAGAGUUUGCUAAGAGUUCUUAAGAAAACACUUUGCAUAUUAAGGUAGCACGGAUACACUUUAUUUCAAAUAUAGUGCUGCUGAUGGUCAAGAGAUAUUUAUGAGAUGUCUAUGAAAUAAAAGUUUCGUUGUGGAAAGGUUAUAACUAAUUUCCCACAAAAUUUACCUUUGGUAUCAGUAAAAUCUAUUUUAAAACCUGCAAAGGUAAAGGACCUCAUGAAUCAAAUUUAAUAAAACCCCUAAUUCAUUAUUUUUUCCAAAAUUUGUCUAAUAAUCUUAUAAAUAAUCAGUGUCAAGCUCAAGGUACCCCAGAAGAAGAUAUUAUACAAAAAGAAGAUGAUGAAGCUUUUGAGAUGGACAACUUUUAUGAUAUGAAUGAAGACUAAAACAUUAAUAAAGACAUGUGACUAAUAUAAGUUGUUAUUAGUUUUUUAUUUUAAACAUAGUAUUAUUAUUAACAAGUUAUAUAUUAAUAAUCUUAUUUUAUAAUAUAAAGUUUUUUCAAUAAUUCUUUGUCAAAG